GCAAGUCUGGUGCCAGCAGCCGCGGUAAUUCCAGCUCCAUAGCGUAUAUUAAAGUUGUUGCGGGUAAAACGCUCGUAGUUGAACUUCGGGCCCGGCCGGCCGGUCCGCCUCACCGGGGGCACUGGUCCCGGUUGGGGGCUUCCUUUUGGGAAACCGAAGGCCUUUAUUGGGGGGGGGGGGAACCAGGACUUUUAC
rnacentral:rRNA from 1 species